CUCCAAAAAAAAUAAAAAAAAUAAAAAUCAGGCUAUCUUUUGUAUAAAUUUAUGUAAGAUUAUACCAAAAUUUUAAUUUAAACUUUUUUUGCAUACUUUUUCAACUUAGAAGGGAGAAAUUUUUCUUCUAAGUAACUCAAUGCUUACUAAGUUUUCUAGUUUAACUAUCUACAUUUCCGUCCAUGUUAUCUAUAAGUAGUGAUCACAAUUUCUACGUGCUUCCUUCUUUUUCAAUCAAUAUUUUACAAAGAAGCAAUAGGAUAUGAUGCUAUAUUUAUUAGUUUGCCCACCAA
rnacentral:lncRNA from 1 species